UAGGGAAUCUUCCACAAUGGGCGAAAGCCUGAUGGAGCAACGCCGCGUGUGUGAUGAAGGGUUUCGGCUACGUAAAACACUGUUGUAAGAGAAGAAUGACAUUGAGAGUAACUGUUCAAUGUGUGACGGUAUCUUACCAGAAAGGAACGGCUAAAUACGUGCCA
rnacentral:rRNA from 1 species